rnacentral:rRNA from 1 species
CCUACGGGAGGCAGCAGUGGGGGAUAUUGCACAAUGGGGGGAACCCUGAUGCAGCGACGCCGCGUGGGUGAAGAAGCGCCUCGGCGCGUAAAGCCCUGUCAGCAGGGAAGAAAAUGACGGUAGCUGAAGAAGAAGCCCCGGCUAACUACGUGCCAGCAGCCGCGGUAAUACGUAGGGGGCAAGCGUGAUCCGGAUGUACGGGGUGUAAAGGGGGCGCAGACGGCGGUGCAAGCCAGGAGUGAAAGCCCGGGGCCCAACCCCGGGACUGCUCUUGGAACUGCGUGGCUGGGGUGCAGGAGGGGCAGGCGGAAUUCCUGGUGUAGCGGUGGAAUGCGUAGAUAUCAGGAGGAACACCAGUGGCGAAGGCGGACUGCUGGACUGCAACUGACGUUGAGGCCCGAAAGCGUGGGGAGCAAACAGGAUUAGAUACCCUAGUAGUC